rnacentral:rRNA from 1 species
CCUACGGGAGGCAGCAGUGGGGGAUAUUGCACAAUGGGGGAAACCCUGAUGCAGCGACGCCGCGUGAGUGAAGAAGCCUUUCGGUGUGUAAAGUCCUAUCAGCCGGGAAGAAGAUGACGGUACCUGACCAAGCAGCCCCGGCUAACUACGUGCCAGCAGCCGCGGUAAUACGUAGGGGGCACGCGUUAUCCGGAUUUACUGGGGGUAAAGGGUGCGGAGGCGGGAUAGCAAGGCAGGCGUGAAAGCCCGGGGCCCAACCCCGGGACUGCUUUUGAAACUGGCGGACUGGAGUGGAGGAGGGGUAAGCGGAAUGCCUAGUGUAGCGGUGAAAUGCGUAGAUAUUAGGAGGAACACCGGUGGCGAAGGCGGCUUACUGGACUGUGACUGACGCUGAGGCACGAAGGCGUGGGGAGCAAACAGGAUUAGAUACCCUUGUAGUC